rnacentral:rRNA from 1 species
GAAAAGCUUUUUUUCAUUUUAAAAAGAUGGAAGAAUAAGGACUGGGCAAGACCGGUGCCAGCCGCCGCGGUAAUCCCGGCAGUUCAAGUUGCAGCCAACAUUAUUGGGUCUAAAACAUCCGUAGCUUGUUUGUUAAGUUCCUUGUGAAAUCUCACAUCUUAAGUGUGAGGCUUGCGGGGAAUACUGGCAGACUCGGGAUCGGUAGAUGUGGGGAGUACACUGGAGGUAGUGGUAAAAUACGUUAAUCUUCAGUGGACUAACAAUGAGCGAAGGCACCCUACAAGGACGAAUCUGACAGUGAGGGAUGAAGGCCAGGGGCGCGAAACGGAUUAGAUACCCGUGUAGUCCUGGCAGUAAACACUGCUCACUAAACAUCGGGCCCUCUUCGGGAGGAUUCGGUGCUGAAGCGAAGGCGAAGAGUGAGCUACCUGGGAAGUAUAGUCGCAAGAUCGAAACUUAAAGGAAUUGGCGGGGGAGCAC